AAAGCCAACUWAUACCGUGAAACUGCGGAAAUGGCUCAUUAAAUCAGUUAUCGUUUAUUAGANAGNANCUACUUACUUGGAUAACCGUGGUAAUUCUAGAGCUAAUACAUGCUAAAAACCUCAACUUCGGAAGGGGUGUAUUUAUUAGAUAAAAAACCAAUGCCCUUCGGGGCUCCCUGGUGAUUCAUAAUAACUAAACGAAUCGCAUGGCCUUGCGCCGGCGAUGGUUCAUUCAAAUUUCUGCCCUAUCAACUUUCGAUGGUAGGAUAGUGGCCUACCAUGGUGGCAACGGGUAACGGGGAAUUAGGGUUCUAUUCCGGAGAGGGAGCCUGAGAAACGGCUACCACAUCCAAGGAAGGCAGCAGGCGCGCAAAUUACCCAAUCCCGACACGGGGAGGUAGUGACAAUAAAUACUGAUGUGGAGCUCUUUAGGGUUUCACAAUUGGAAUGAGAAAAAUCUAAACCACUUAAACGAGGAACAAUUGGAGGGCAAGUCUGGUGCCAGCAGCCGCGGUAAUUCCAGCUCCAAUAGCGUAUAUUAAAGUUGUUGCAGUUAAAAAGCUCGUAGUUGAACCUUGGGCCUGGCCGGCCGGUCCGCCUCACCGCGUGCACUGGUUCGGCCGGGCCUUUCCUCCUGGGGAACCGCAUGCCCUUUACUGGGUGUGCCGGGGGAAUCAGGACUUUUACUUUGAAAAAAUUAGAGUGUUCAAAGCAGGCAUUUGCUCGAAUACAUUAGCAUGGAAUAAUAGAAUAGGACGUUGUGGUUCUAUUUUGUUGGUUUCUAGGACCGCCGKAAUGAUUAAUAGGGRACGGA
rnacentral:rRNA from 1 species